CCUGAGACAUCAUCACUUCCCCGUGGUUUUGGUUUUGUAGGCUCAGAUGCUAAUUUGCAGACAGUGCCCCCGUGUGGUCAAGAAAAGCAGCUAAAUCAUUCAGACUGAGCACAUACUACUGAAGUAUGCAGGGUCAUCAUUGAAAUUUCAUAAUGCAUUAAUAGGCUACAUCUAAGGCUCCAUUCACUGUCAAGAGAGAACACUGCUGACUGUCAUUGCAAGGAAGAUAGAACAGUCCAGUAUAUUUUAUUUUGCUACAUAAUCAGAAAUUGCUGUUUAACUUUACUUUGCACAUGAAACAUUACUUACCAUAUUCUUAUCUGGUGUGACAGGCUUUACAGUCAUAUUAUCUUCGGCUAUUGAGGAUUCUGGUUCUCUUACUGUAUCCAAACUCUCAUACACAUGCUCGUCUUUAUUCAUGGCAUUCCAGACGUCACCCCAGCCAGCUCUAUCGAGCAUCUGAACAUCUUGAUCCAGGGCCUUUGAGUCCACCUGAGGCCUCUCUGUUGCAUUUACGGUUGAUUUUAUCUCCAUUUUAGGGGACUGAGGUGUGUUAACUGUCUGGAGAGGUGGCAGUAUGAUAGAAGGUGGAGUUUCCCCAUUAGUUGGAGGAGCAUGGAUGGAAGGCUUGUCUUUAAUGGUGUCAUAUAUCUGGAGUUCAGGCACAGGACCGGCCUCUGCUUCAGUCUUUAUAGGAUCUGGAUCCAAACCUUUCAGUUCAAAGAAUUCCUUUGGAAUAAUAUAUGUUGAUAUUCUAUGGCCAUCCUUCUCCGUGUCUCGUUUUAUAGAGGCAGGGACUCUGAGUGUGACCUCAGCGGGCUCAAUGAUGAUGGGAAGUCUAUCAGGAGCUGUCUCUGAGUUGGACUUGAGUUUAAUGCAGGACGCCUCAGCCCCAUACUUCAGACCUGUAGUGCUGCUGUGUCAGUGGGAGGGAAGAAAUGUGUCCAGAUUUGAGCUGCUCGACGGGUUUGAGCGCGGCUGAGUGGAAGAGAGCAGGAGUCAGUCACCAAGCGAAGGAACAAUUGUCCAAAGCUGGGAAAAAUGAGGAAGCAGAAAAUAAAAAAGAGAAACGGCGAGGAGAACUUGUCAGCACUGCUGUGUUUUUAAUUAUUACCAUGGCAACACUGACAAAGGCGUUCUUUGCGGGUUUCAUUCAAGGCUAUUUCGGCUUUAUGACUAAUGUUUCGAGUCAUAUUUGCAGACAUGGGUGUUGGUGCGAAAACUCUGACUUUAUGGAAGCGUUUCGGUUCAGCUCACAGUCAGUGGUGUUAUUCUGUGUCUGGUUUUCCUUCAGUCUGUCAGUGCUGCUGCUGAUAACGUCGUCCAGCUCAGCAGGAAAUGACAUAAAUACUGCAUGGUUUUGUAGUAUGAACAGGUUAUCAUUGAGAAAAAGGCAUCCACGUAUUCAUGUGGAAGCCAAACUUAGAUUAGUAGACUAA
rnacentral:lncRNA from 1 species